UCCAUCUUCAUCUUCCAUGAAGGACUGCAUUCUUCUUGCAGCAUGUGAAGCACAUGAAAGUCUUCCUCAACAUGCUGGUUUGCCUGCAGAUGUGUUCACUUCCUGUCUCACAACGCCAAUUAAGGUGGCAUUGAGUUGGUAUGUUCCAUCCUUGAUAUGGAAUGGUCUAUCAAAAUAAACAGAAUCUUAUGAUUCACAAUGCAAUUCACAAUAGGUGAAUCUAUUUUGGGAUAAAAUCAAUAUUGAAUCACAUGAUUAAAAAGUUGACUUGUGUUUUAUGAUCUAUAUAAUUCUUGAAACUACCAAGUCUGACAUAUUUAGACUCUUUGUUUAUCUCUUUUUUUCUUUUGGUGAAAAUGUGAGAAUACAAAAUACACUGUUAUUGGGAGCACUAUAGCAAGCAAAAAAAAUGGAUUUGGGUUUUUACCAUUGACAAAAUUCAGUAUACAUUUUGUGAAGUAUUGGAGGCCCCCCUUCUUUUUAAUGUGCAGUCAGCUGGGACUUUGUCAAUUAAUAGUGAAUUCCAUGGACACAGGACAUACUUUAUUAUACAAAUAAUGUUAUAGUUAACAACUCGGCUACAUCCACGCAAAUUAUUGUCUCCCGAGUACUCCGAAUGAUGUGGCUAGAGAAGGAUGAAGCUGAAUCCCACUUGCUCCAAAAGGUGAAAUCCCAACCUAUAAAUAUACUUGUUUGAGUUUUUUUUUUUUUUUCUUCUUUUUUUUUUUUAUGUUUUUAUGACUGUUUGAGUAUGUUUGAGUAUUUUCUGAAGCAAUGUUUACUUAGGUAUAGGUGUAAAACCAUUGUUUAAAAUAGGGUAUGUAUGAAGCUUUUCUUUGUUUAAUUUUUAAACAUUUUUCUUUCAACCUUUCUGGAACAGAGUUUGAGAAAUUGCUUUGUUAGCUUUUUUACAUACUAUAUUUUAAGCAUUUUUGGAACAAAAGUGAAAAAAGUGCUGCUUGUCUUGUAAAGAAACCACUGCUUCUUGUUUUUGUUGAUUUUCUUCUUCAUUUUCUUCUUUAUUUGCUUAUGAUUAGCUUCUCUAUUUUUUCCCACUAUACUCUAUUCUUCUCUGUUUUUUUCAGACAUGUUACCAUACAGGUGAAAUAUAGAAUAUAUCUAUCUGUGAAAGUGGUGGGAAACUUUCCUUCCACUGUAAUUUUUUUUAAUGGACAUACACAGGUGAAAUGUCCAAUUUCAUUGAUCCCUUUACUUUUUUGUAUUAACUAUUUUUGAGACAUUUGCCUAAGUUGUUUUGGCCCUCCUAUUUUAGGCAGCCCUAGCACAUGGAAUGGGCCCAAGUUGAUGUUUGCCAUGUUACUCUUUAUAUUUGUGAAAGCUUGUUUCUAUAUAAUAAAUCCAGGAAAUGCUUAUUGACUAUUUGUAGAUGGACCUUUUCCACCUUAUUAGGCUUGGUGAUCAUCAUACCAUGAUAUCUCAUCCAGUAAUUUCACUGAUCAGUACCAAAUCAUGGUUUUGUUUUUCAAGAGCAAGUUUGAAACAGAGGCAAUGUUUAGCAUGGGUUCACUUACUCUUUUGCACUGAAGUAAAGGGAAGAGCAGAAUUUUAUUGUCAAUAUCUAUAUAUUGGAGAUAUAAUUUUGAUAAGUCAGUCAGGAGUUUGUUGGACCAAUUGAUGCUUUAACAACUUUAGCAUAGGGUAUAUUGAAUACAAUUUUGAUAAAAUACAACAUCACUUAUUUCUUAUGUCAUAUAUGAGCAUGAAAAUUUUAAUUUUGGAUGAAAGUUGUAACCAAUUUUUACAUCUCAUCUUCAUGUAAAUUCAUUAUGAAGUUCUUGAGAUUCUUAAGUUUCAACAAAUUUGACCAGUGACAAAGAAAUGUGGAUUUUGGAACCUCAUUCUAUUUUGCUGGUUUAUGAGACAAUUUUUUUUUAAGAGAUGUGGACAUGUAAACAUUGAUACUUGUAAAUGAAUACUUCAGUAUCCUUUCAGGAAAGUCUAAUCAUGUUGUUUGUUUGCUAUUGCAAUUUUUCUUGACAAAGCACUGAAGGAACUGGAGGUUAGGUGACCAUGAGUUUUUGCUAGUUUGGGUGACCCUGAGUUUCUUGACAAAGUACUAUGAAUCAUUUGCCUUUCACUUCCCUUUCAAAUUCUAAUGGUAUGUUUUGCAGGCCAUUGAUUUAGGUGAACCAUACCAUGCACUUCAUUUACAAUAACAUGUUGUCUAUUUGAUUACAAUAAUUUGCAAAGUAUAAUAUAUCAGAAUUAUUAAAUUUAUAAUUGUUAUAAUUUGAAAUGUCAAUUUUAUUGAAUAAGUGCUAAUGGUUUUUUUUUUUUUUAACUGAUUGCUUUUGCAUGGGCUAUUGUGGAUAUUUAUUUUUGUGUAGGAAGAGCAUUUGUUUUGUAUAUGAAAGUCAUUUAUUUUUGUACAAUUCUUUGUUUUGGAAAUCCAUUGUUUUUGUAUGUAAUAUUUAAUUUAGAUAGAUUAUACUUGGUUGGUGUUGAUGUAGAUUUAUAUGAUAAUGAAAUGAGUAAUAUUAUUUGUAAUGGAUUUAGAUGAUAAUUGAUAGAUAUAUUAUUUUGUAUAUUUACAGGUUA